UUUAACACGAAGUGAGUGGCGAACGGGUGAGUAACACGUGGGUAACCUGCCCAGAAGUAGGGGAUAACACCUGGAAACAGAUGCUAAUACCGUAUAACAGAGAAAACCGCAUGGUUUUCUUUUAAAAGAUGGCUCUGCUAUCACUUCUGGAUGGACCCGCGGCGUAUUAGCUAGUUGGUGAGGUAAAGGCUCACCAAGGCAGUGAUACGUAGCCGACCUGAGAGGGUAAUCGGCCACAUUGGGACUGAGACACGGCCCAGACUCCUACGGGAGGCAGCAGUAGGGAAUCUUCCACAAUGGACGCAAGUCUGAUGGAGCAACGCCGCGUGAGUGAAGAAGGGUUUCGGCUCGUAAAGCUCUGUUGUUAAAGAAGAACGUGGGUAAGAGUAACUGUUUACCCAGUGACGGUAUUUAACCAGAAAGCCACGGCUAACUACGUGCCAGCAGCCGCGGUAAUACGUAGGUGGCAAGCGUUAUCCGGAUUUAUUGGGCGUAAAGCGAGCGCAGGCGGUCUUUUAAGUCUAAUGUGAAAGCCUUCGGCUCAACCGAAGAAGUGCAUUGGAAACUGGGAGACUUGAGUGCAGAAGAGGACAGUGGAACUCCAUGUGUAGCGGUGAAAUGCGUAGAUAUAUGGAAGAACACCAGUGGCGAAGGCGGCUGUCUGGUCUGCAACUGACGCUGAGGCUCGAAAGCAUGGGUAGCGAACAGGAUUAGAUACCCUGGUAGUCCAUGCCGUAAACGAUGAUUACUAAGUGUUGGAGGGUUUCCGCCCUUCAGUGCUGCAGCUAACGCAUUAAGUAAUCCGCCUGGGGAGUACGACCGCAAGGUUGAAACUCAAAAGAAUUGACGGGGGGCCCGCACAAGCGGUGGAGCAUGUGGUUUAAUUCGAAGCUACGCGAAGAACCUUACCGGGUCUUGGCAUCUUCUGACAGUCUAAG
rnacentral:rRNA from 1 species